AUUAACAAUGGUUUAAUAAUUCAACAGGGGCAGGCAAUAGACAGGUCAAGGCAGGCAGGGGUCAGUAACUAGAGGUGGAGCAACGGUACAGGACGGCAGGCAGGCUCAGGGUAGGUAGAGGUCAGUAAUCCAGAGGUGGGGCAAAGGUACUGGAUGGCAGGCAGGCUCAGGGUCAGGGUAGGUAGAGGUCAAUAAUCCAGAGGUGGGGCAAAGGUACUGGACGGCAGGCAGGCUCAGGGUCAGGGUAGGUAGAGGUCAAUAAUCCAGAGGUGGGGCAAAGGUACAGGAGGGUGAGAAAAGAGAGAGACUGGGGGAAGCAGGAGCUGAGACACAAAAAUGCUGGUUGACUUGACAAACAAGAUCAACUGGCAACAGACAAACAGAACACAGGUAUAAAUACACAGGGGAGGAUUGGGAAGAUGGGCGA
ensembl:lncRNA